UACGUAGGGGGCAAGCGUUGUCCGGAAUUACUGGGCGUAAAGCGUGCGCAGGCGGUUUGCUAAGACAGGUGUGAAAUCCCCCGGGCUUAACCUGGGAACUGCGCUUGUAACUGGCAAGCUUGAGUGUGGCAGAGGGGGGGUGGAAUUCCACGUGUAGCGUGAAAUGCGUAGAGAUGUGGAGGAACACCGAUGGCGAAGGCAGCCCCUG
rnacentral:rRNA from 1 species